GACGAACGCUGGCGGCGUGCCUAAUACAUGCAAGUAGAACGCACAGUUUAUACCGUAGCUUGCUACACCAUAGACUGUGAGUUGCGAACGGGUGAGUAACGCGUAGGUAACCUGCCUGGUAGCGGGGGAUAACUAUUGGAAACGAUAGCUAAUACCGCAUAAUAUUGAUUAUUGCAUGAUAAUUGAUUGAAAGAUGCUAUUGCAUCACUACCAGAUGGACCUGCGUUGUAUUAGCUAGUAGGUGAGGUAACGGCUCACCUAGGCGACGAUACAUAGCCGACCUGAGAGGGUGAUCGGCCACACUGGGACUGAGACACGGCCCAGACUCCUACGGGAGGCAGCAGUAGGGAAUCUUCGGCAAUGGACGAAAGUCUGACCGAGCAACGCCGCGUGAGUGAAGAAGGUUUUCGGAUUGUAAAGCUCUGUUGUAAGAGAAGAACGGGUGUGAGAGUGGAAAGUUCACACUGUGACGGUAUCUUACCAGAAAGGGACGGCUAACUACGUG
rnacentral:rRNA from 1 species